GGGCAUGACUUCCGGUUCCCGCGCGGCGCUCCAAAGCUCGGGGAGUGGUGGUCUCCCUUUCCUGGAGUCAUUUGUGGGAGUUAGGGUCUUAUCCUGAUCUUUCCUCGUCCCCCGCUCCCCCGUCCUCCGAGGUGGCAGCUGCGUAGGUGAACGUUCCCCCUGUCCCCUUCCUUCUCCUUCCUAACCCGAGUACGCUUGCUCGCGGCCACAGUGGCUGCCUGCCCCAGGAGCGGGGAGUCCCUGCCUUUGGGGUAGGGAAAUGACUGAAAUGUGGGACCUGCGGGCUCCUCGGGCUGACUUGGACCUCACUGCAGCUCUGGAGGUGGACCUCGUCCUGGGACCCUAGAAGCCCAUUUCCGCACUCGGGCUAGGCCUUCGGAGCCGCGGCAGCAUAGUGGGAGGAGUCGGGCUCAGCUCCCCCCCACCACAACCGGGAUUAUUUUUAUCGAAGUCUGGAACGUUUUUUCUUAGAGUUCCAGAAUUGAGACUGAAGUGUACCCAGAGACACAAAGAAAUACAGAAGUCCAGAAUGAUCAAAUGAGAUCACUACCCAAUGAAAUGAUGGGCCGAGGAGCCAGAAGUUGUCCUACUACCUGCUUUCCAGGUCCAGAUUCCACGAGAGCCUUCUGGGCUCCCACCAGAGACCCUCAGUGAAGACUCUGUUGAAGACUUUAAGACCAUGCUAGAAAGCCUCCCGGCAGAGGUUCAGGAAGUUCUGCUAUGAGGAUGCAGCUGGCCCCAGGGAUGUCCUCAGGCAUCUCUAGGACCUUGCUGGACGGUGGUGGCUGAGACCUGAUAUCCACACAAAGGAGCAGACUGUGGAAAUGCUGGUGCAGGAGCAAUUCCAGGCUGUCCUGCCCGAGGAGCUCAGAGCUCAAGCACAGAGAUGUCAGCCUGGAAUCAGAAUCACUGGCUAAGUCUUGCUGCUUGCUUCUUGCUCAGCCUGCAUAUGAGAAGUCAACCAAGCAUUCUCUUGGAUGCAAGAUCCAACUGCACCCAUGGGAAAUCUGAACUUCCACUUUCUUUGAGCUUGUCUUUGGUUGUAAUAAGAAUCCAUCAAAACCCAUGUCUGGAUCUCUCUUUGGCUGAGGCAGCUUUAUUUCCUACAGAAAGAGUUUCUCUGUCCUCUUGUUAGGACAAUCAGCCUGCUGCUUUGGGCUUUUCCAAGAGCCUAUUUUUCAUCUGCUGGAUGCCUCUUUUUUUUUUUUUUUUUUUUUUUGCACUGUGUGACAUGCUUUAAUAUAUAUAUUUUUUAUGUAUCCAAAGAGGUAAUCAACUUUAACUUUCAGAAUUCAUGAAUCUUGGUUUGGUGGCAUGAAUGAAAGGUUAUGUAACCCCACCAGUAACUCAUUUGGGGUGCCCUUGAAAUAUUAAAGUUUGGUCCUCAA
ensembl:lncRNA LINC00339 long intergenic non-protein coding RNA 339